rnacentral:rRNA from 1 species
AUUGAACGCUGGCGGCAUGCUUUACACAUGCAAGUCGAACGGUAACAGGCCGCAAGGUGCUGACGAGUGGCGAACGGGUGAGUAAUGCAUCGGAACGUGCCCAGUCGUGGGGGAUAACGCAGCGAGAGCUGCGCUAAUACCGCAUACGAUCUCUGGAUGAAAGCGGGGGACCGAAAGGCCUCGCGCGAUUGGAGCGGCCGAUGUCAGAUUAGGUAGUUGGUGGGGUAAAGGCCCACCAAGCCAACGAUCUGUAGCUGGUCUGAGAGGACGACCAGCCACACUGGGACUGAGACACGGCCCAGACUCCUACGGGAGGCAGCAGUGGGGAAUUUUGGACAAUGGGCGCAAGCCUGAUCCAGCAAUGCCGCGUGCAGGAAGAAGGCCUUCGGGUUGUAAACUGCUUUUGUACGGAACGAAACGGUCCGGGCUAAUACCCUGGGCUAAUGACGGUACCGUAAGAAUAAGCACCGGCUAACUACGUGCCAGCAGCCGCCGUAACAC